UUAGAAUAAUUAGGUAGUUCUUUAAAAUCUCAUGUGUUACCAUUUCUAUCUGUUUGAAGGAGAGGAAGUUGAUGUCAAUGACAUGAAAACAAUUCUAGGAAACAUGGGGAUAGAGCUUACGGAUAAAGAACUCACAGAACUGGUAAAUAAUCUGCCAGUUGAUGAUGGAAAGGUCUAUCAGAAAAGAUUGCUGGACGGUAUAAAGUUUCUUAGAGGGGGGAAGAUUGACUCCAGCAAAGUGGACAUGGUUUUGGGAAACAUGGGCAUAAACCUCACUGAAAAAGAACUUGAAGAUCUAACACAAAACCUACCAGUUGAUGUUGAUGAGAAGGUUGAUCUGAAAAACAUGAUGCUGAGAAUAAAAGAUUUUACAGGAGAAAAGGUUGAUGCCAGAGAUCUGAAAAAUGUUCUUGGAGACAUGGGGAUAGAAGUCAAUGAUAAGGACUGCGUGGAACUGCUAAAAUUACUACCAGUUGAUGGAGGAAAGGUUGAUAUCGGUAACCUGAAGACGAUUCUUGGGAACAUGGGGAUCAAGCUCAAAAAUAAGGAACUUCAAAGUGUGAUACAAAAUCAACCUGUUGAUGCUAAUGGAAAUGUUCCUCUGAAAAAGGUGAUGGAUGAUGUGAAAGCAAUUAUAGGAGAAAAACUUAACGUGGAAAAUCUAAAAAACAUUCUCGAAGGCCUUGGAAUAGAAUUCACACCUAAAGAAUACUUGGAACUGGUACAAAAUCUGCAAAUUGAUGAUGAUGGAACUAUAUCUGAAAAUAGAUUGCUAGAUGGUGUGAAAUCAUUCAAAGGUGGAAGAGUUGAUGUUAGUAACCUGGAAAAUGUUUUGGAAAAUGUGAAAAUCAUGCUUCCAGAUAAGGAACUUAAAGAUUUGUCACAAAACCUACCAGUUGAUGCUUCUGGGAUGACUGAUCUGCAUAAACUACUAAAAGAAGUAAAUAAAUUCACAGGAGGAAAAAUUCAAGCCAAGGACAUACAAAAAGUACUGGGAGACAUGGGAGUAGAGCUCACAAAUAGGGAACUCUGGAACCUGAUGAAAAUGUUGCCAAUUACUGAUGACGGAAAGGUAUAUAAAAAUAUAUUGCUUGAUAAUAUAAAAUCAUUUCCUGGUGGGAAGUGCAAUGUCUCUAAAAUUGGUACUAUCCUGGAAAACAUGGGUUAUGAGCUGGAAGAUGAGGAAAUUGAAUACCUGCAGAACCACCUGCCAACUACUGAUGAAAAGAAGGUUAAACUGAAUAAGGUCAUGGAAAAUGUAGAGUCAUUUACAGGAACCAAGAUUAAUACUAAUGAAGUAGAUGAUAUUUUGAAAAACAUAGGGAUAGAACUCACACCUAAGGAACGCUGGAAGCUGCUAAAAACUCUGCCAGUUACUUCUGAUGGAAAAGUGUGUCGCAAUCUGUUACUAGAUCGUUUAAAGACUUUCCAAGGAGGGAAGGUCUUUGAAAAUAAACUAGAAACCAUUCUGGAAAACAUGAACUACAAACUUGAAAAUGAAGAAAUGAAAGAUCUACGGAACCAUUUGAAAAUUGAUGACAAUGGAAAGAUUUUAUUAAAUUCUGUGAUCCGUGCAGCCAAUUUAUUUUCUGGUGAUAAGAUAAAUGCCAGUGACAUACAACUUUAUCUAGGAAAUGUAGGUAUUGAAUUUACAAAUAAAGAAAACCAGGAUCUACUGGACAUAGUGCCAUUGGAUGAUAAUAAAAGGGUAUAUAAAGAUAGGCUGAUGGAUGGAGUGAAGACUUACAGAGGUGAGUAAAAAUCAUGCUAGAAAAGAUAAAACUGAGUUCUUCAAGCUUUUGUGUUUACUUUCUUAAAACCUAUCUUAUUUCCCACUGAUUAGAUUACUAAUUAUGUUAAUAUAUUCUUCAAAUUAUGAACUGGCAUUGUUACUCGUACACAAUCACAUUUGGGGUAAUAGCUUUCACUAUUUUGUCACUGUAGCAAAUUUCAAAUCUUACUGGUAAGAAAUCUUUGGAUUGUUGUCUCUUUGCUGUAAUUCAUCAGUCUUGCUUGCUCUUUUUCCUC
rnacentral:lncRNA from 1 species